AAAAUAACUCCCCAGCUGUCAGUGGCUUUCUCAGCUGCCAACACAAGAACUUGAUCACACGGAGAAAUUCCAGAAUUGAGGAGAGUCAUCAUGCACACUUUUGAUUCCACCCUGCAGGCUUCCAGGUGGUAGUAGUUGGGGGACACCCCGACCUGCCCUCACCAGUGUUCCCUGAAGGAAGUCUGAAGCUACAGUAAAGACUCGGCUUGUGGAAUCUAAAACGGUUGAAUUUAUAGAAGCAGAGAGUAGAAUGGGAUCAAGAUCUGGAGGCUGGAGAAACUGGAGGUGCAGUGACUGAGACAGGAAAGGCAAGGAUCCCCAUGGAUCCCGUUGACAGUGCAGAGUAAAGAGAGGACCUGGAGGAGGCAACAUUCAAGGGGGGCUAAGCAUGGCUGGCUGGGCUGUGUUGUCACCAGGCUGUGGAAAUAGGGCUCAGCUGGAAUGAGAAAUUUCAAGUCCAUCAUUCGUGACCUGAAAUUAAUCUUAAAACUAAGUAAAAAGGGCCAAGAGAGGCUACCUUUUGAUUUCAUGUUUUAAGAAUAAUAAAAGCAUUAAUGGGUGAAAUUCUGCAUUUCUGAAACUUUAAUAAAGCACCUAACUAUAA